rnacentral:rRNA from 1 species
AAUCAACGCUGGCGGCGCGCCUAACACAUGCAAGUCGAACGAGAAAGUGGAGCAAUCCAUGAGUAAAGUGGCGUACGGGUGAGUAACACGUGGAUCAUCUGCCUUCUAGUGGGGAAUACCGUUGGGAAACCGACGACAAUACCGCAUAAGCCCGAGAGGGGAAAGCAGCAAUGCGCUGGAAGAGGAGUCCGCGGUCGAUUAGUUAGUUGGCAGGGUAAUGGCCUACCAAGACUGUGAUCGAUAGCCGGCCUGAGAGGGCACACGGCCACACUGGCACUGAAACACGGGCCAGACUCCUACGGGAGGCAGCAGUGGGGAAUCUUGCACAAUGGAGGAAACUCUGAUGCAGCGACGCCGCGUGAGCGAUGAAGCCC